UACAGAGGGUGCAAGCGUUAUUCGGAAUUACUGGGCGUAAAGCGUAUGUAGGUGGACAAUCAAGUCAGAUGUGAAAGCCCCGAGCUCAACUUGGGAAUUGCAUUUGAAACUGAUAGUCUUGAGAUUGGAAGAGGUAGGUAGAAUUCCUGGAGUAGAGGUGAAAUUCGUAGAUAUCAGGAGGAAUACCGGAGGCGAAGGCGGCUUACUGGUCCAAUACUGACACUGAGAUACGAGAGCGUGGGUAGCAAACAGGAUUAGAUACCCUGGUAGUCCACGCUGUAAACGAUGUUAACUAGCUGUUUGAGGAAUUGACCCCUUGAGUAGCACAGCAAACGCGUUAAGUUAACCGCCUGGGGAGUACGGUCGCAAGAUUAAA
rnacentral:rRNA from 1 species